rnacentral:rRNA from 1 species
AAAAUGUAACAAGGUUUCCGUAGGUGAACCUGCGGAAGGAUCAUUACCGAGUGC